GUUUGAGGUAGAACCUGCCUAUGGUGAUCUUCCUAAAGGACUGUUUGCAGGGCAUUUUCACAAUGAAGACAUGGAAGUUCAUGCUUGGUCAAAAAUCAAAGGCGUAGGACACUAUCGUUGGUUAUAAGGACUAAUGAACUACUUGUUGCACGAACAACAAUUGGAGUAUAUUGCAGACACUAUGCGACAAAUUUUCAACUUCUUACAUUGGUACUGACUCGCAAUAAGAGUGCUUCUCAGAGACCUCGAAGCUAAAGGAGGGGGGGUGAUGUCAAGGACAUACACUAGGAAGUUGUAGAAGAUUCUAGAAGGUUCUAGAGAAGCUUUGUAGUUUGUAGAAGCUACUUGAAAAGUUUUCAAGCUCGUGGAAGCUGCUUAAGAAGCUUCCUAGCUUGUAGUAUAUAUAGGAGCCGAGACUGAGAGAAUCCUCAGUCUCGACAACACACCUCUUGGAGCUCUAGCUCACCUCUUUAGUGUUGUUCUUGUACUCAUCUCAUUUAUCUAGUUCUUGCCAAUUCUUCUUCAGCUUCUUGUUUAGAUUUCCAGUCAGUAUUCUAAAUUCGUGACACCUAAUAGCAUUAUAAAAGUAGAUUUCAUAUGAUUAAUAAUGCAAAUUUUAUUUUUUACAAUUACAAACUUUAAAAUAAGUUUUUUUUCAUAUGUUAUCUCUAGUGUGCCAUUUUUCUGGUGUUUAAAAAAUUAACAAGAAAAAAAAAAUGAAAACUAAAGACAUAUUUCUACUCAAUGUUAUGAGACAAAAAAUAAAAUAAAAUAAAAGUAAAAGAAUAAAAUCUUUUUAUCAAAUAUGUGUUUGUAAUAAGAUUAAAACAAAAAUAAAAUGAAAUAAGGAGAAAAAAAAAAAAAAAAAAAAAAAAAAAAAAAACAGUAUUGUUUAUAAUGUUGGGAAGAUAAGCAGUGAUUGAGUGGUAAUGGUCUAACUCUAAGAAAAAUCAGUUCAGAAUCUAUUUGCUAGUGCAACAACAUAGCUUAUAAAUGACAGAAUACUCUGAGUUUAUAUACCUACAUUUGCCCUCUCACAGGUCAUAUGAUUGCAAAAACACAGAGCUACAUGGAAUUACCAAGUUCUAUUUAGUCAUUGAUUUUAAGCGGCGUUCCAGACAUCAUUUGAGGUCCAUUUAACUAGGAUUGACGUGCUUAAGAUCUUCUAAAGCUGAUAAGUACUACUGAGACAAGUUCCUGAUUCUCCUCUGAAGCCGAUAUAUUACAGCAGGAUCUGACUUCACGGCAAAUUCUGCGAGGCAAUGAUCAUGCCAGUUUGAUAUUUAAUCUUCAAUGCAGCGAAGAAGUACUGGAAUGACCAACUCCGGAGAGCUCAGUUGAGGUAUGUGACCCUCAGUUUGUAAAAUACGAAUGGAUGUCCACCCACCCAAGUUGCUGUUCAAGUACUCCGCCACUUCGACUGGAACGGCCAAGUCUUUCAUACUUUGAAGUAUGUGGCAAGGCACUGUAACCUGCAUGCAGAUCAACCAAAGGGUCAUUUCUAUUAUCAUGAAAUCUUCACGUUCACAGCACAACUGUUAGUAAAAUAGCUAUUUAUUUAACAUAGGAAAGAUAACAUAGUGCCAAUCAGACAACAUAGCAAAUCCCCAAUGGAGUAAAAUAUCGAAGCCAUGCAAAUUAAUGUGCAAGUCUAAGGUUGUCAUGCCUGCGGUAAUAUGCUUCGGAGAUCGCUUUGGAAUAUGAUUUGAGAGAUGCUGAAGGCGAUGUCUGGUCUCAUGGAGGAUAAUGUUCGAGAGAAAUCUUGCACUGCUCUAUUGUCAAUGUGGGCACCUAGAGCAGCUGGCGCAAACCCCGAUACCCACGUUCUGAAAUUGGAUUUCAUGUUGGCAUACAUUUGGUCAAGGUCAUGCUGCUCAAAUCCUCCAUGGUAGUUCGUAUCAUUCAAGUACCUGCCACAGAAAGAUUGAGCCACAGCAGUUUCAUGAUGCCUGAGACAGUCCCCGCACAAAAAAUUGAUACAACUCAUUCAAUGUUUGACAAUGUCGGUGAAGGGGUCACUGCAUUGGCACAAUACCUUGGAGAUGCCCCCAAAAGAAUGAGUUUUUGAAAAAUAUCUGGCUUUUCAAGAGAUGCAAGGCAACCUAUCAUCCCUGAAAUGGAGUGUCCUACGUACACGCAGCUCUCGAUCUCAAGCUCGUCUAGAAUUGCCAGUAGAUCAUCAGCAAAUGACUGAAGAGAAGUGUAUCUCUUGAAGCUGAAAUUAUUUGCAUCAGUUGUGCUGGCUCCCAUCAAGUCGUAUAGGACGACUCUGAAGUUAUUGCUCAACAGAGACGGCACUACAUACUUCCACAUAGAUUGGUCAGAUCCAAACCCAUGCCCCAGAACCACAACUUGGUCGCCGUUGCCCAGAACACUCAGAUUGUGGGCAGCUAACAAGGACUCGGACACCACCAUUCUUUUAAAAUUGCAGCGAUCGGCGGCUGUCAAAAAUUAGAUUACUCUGUUCAGAUUUGCUGACAAAACCAUGUAAUUCGACUCCUACCACAAUAGAUGCCAUACACACAUAAAUAUCUGUGAUUACAUUUCACAAGAUGGAAUCCGUCUGCAUGUAGCAGCUGGAGCCGAUUGAUGUUCGGCAAACUUUAGUAAAAGUAUCCAGAAACUGUUUAACAAGCAGCCAGAAACUCUGCAGUUGUUUCAGUCCCAAUGGUCUAUUGAGAAACAGGUUUUCAUGUAAGUUAAGUAAUAUUCCUUCCCUACUACAAAGAGAGCUUUUCAGUAUGACAUAUUUUGCGCCGUCAGAGUCUCUUGCCAAGAGAGUUACUUGCAAAACUAUUUCGGCUGACGUACUCUACAGUCAUUAAAGGGCAACUACGUCAAAAGUCGAAUGUGAAGUCAAUUAGCACACAAACACCGCUUACACAGAACAGUUACUGGUAUGAUAGACCGGCAAUAAAGCGUGCGUAUGACCAAAGAACCACGCAAUCUACCGUAAGCUACUUCGACAUUUGGUUCAGCACAUACCGCGCUUGAAGUUGUCCCAGUUGCACGGAAAAGCUUCAAAAUAAUCUCCAAUGGAAUCUUCAGAAAGUUUUAGUAUUUUCAGCGGUUGUUCAGAGUAAUAAAGCGCCUUGCUCAUGAACAAAAGAAGUCAAGCAUUUCGCUAUUAGAAGUCCCCCAAGAACCUAAGCUACAGAUUACUUGGAAAGUUUUUGUAACAUAAAACCAACUACAAUCGACUGCAGUUGUCGAGGGUAAUUGAUUUUCUUGCGAAGUCACACGACCAAGCAGAAGAUCUACUAGAUCGUUCUUGGAUUGACCUUCCCUUGAAUGUAGUUGAUACUGCAGAAGACAUACAUCUCAAACUUUAGAGAACUCAACUAUACUAAAUCAACUCGCAUGGGGCAGCCAUUGCAGAUAUGUGUAUACAAUGAUAAUUAAACAACCUUCCUGCAGUUUUCACUUAGGAAUGUAUAAACUCAAUCUAUAGGAGCCAUCCGGAUACUCAGAAUUCACGAAGCUUGUGUCAUUACAUACUUUCACAAAGAUAGAAAACCAAAUUACAUUGCCUCCGACCAGAGAUUCAAGAGGGGGUGAGCUCAUAAUAAAUAUUACGAGUUUAUGCGCAGUUCAUAAUAAUAAAUAAAAAGAUAAACUAAAACUGGAUCACAUACCAGGUGAGUUUGUAAUUGACUGGCGAUGAAGCGGACGACGCAGAGCUAUUCCUUAAAGACAGGGAAGUGGUACAAUGGAUGAGUCCUCGUGGCAACAAAGAUGGUGGCUACGAUAAGGUACCAAGGAAGAUCGUUACGCAGGGCAAGAAGAGCGAAUGCAAAUGCAAUGAAACAAUGAUAUCCUAGCUUCUGUUAUAGAGGAGUGAAAGGUGAUCGCCGAAGGAUAAAAUAUGCGUGUAGUGCGGAAUCGAAAAAGUCAAGUAGAAAAUUAUUCUAUAUUAUGGUUCCUUUACAGAAGGCUUGCGAAAAGUUAUCAUUCCGCCUUUUCAGUCUUCAUGCCAACACUUCAGAGUACUCAGAAAUAAUAAUUGCUCGAAAUCCCCUCCCAAUCGACUUUGCAGUUUAAUUAACCUUUCCACUACCAGCAGCUUGUCCUCUGUAAAAUGUAAUUUCGACGUUUUCUCCAUCUCGUGCAGGAUGCAUGACCUGCUCGCAGAGGUUUCCAACCAGAGGCUCUCCAGAACCGCCUUCCACUCGAUUCGAUCCACAUUUCCGCAAAAUUGGAUAAAGACCUCAUGCUUGGGAAUACAAAAAAAUCCAACGAAGUGCCGUGGAUCGCAGUUGGACCAAGAAACCAUGCCAUCGACACCUCAUCGGCUCCCUUUCCUCAUGAACCAUCACUAAUUCUUCCAGCUGAUAGAAUGCAAUUCGAUCCAAUACACAUCAGCCUAACAAUUGUUACCGCAUGGCAAGCAAAAACUCAUUUCUAUAGACUGUCGUGUAUCUCUGACGCUAGCGCCUCCUUUCACGCCACUCAGUGGACCCGCCAACGAUGAAACGGGGAGCAUAGGAGCAAAUGAAUAAGACGAAAUACUGCUUUCCUCUCUAUGGUAGCCCUGCCAAACCUACGGCGGGAAAAAAGCUAUUUCCUCUUUAAGGGAACGAUUUCAAUGGAUUGGUUCGAAUGUUAGCAUCGGGGGAACGAUUUGCGAGGCCAUCUCCUGGCAGAGCAGAUCCGUUGGCCGAGCGAAUCCGUUCAUAAAGUUCGUUGAUUUUGCUUCUCCAGCUCAUUAUUGGACUAGGACCUCAAAGCGUAGGCCGUGCAUCUUCCACGGUGAAACAAGUCCGCAGACUACUUACGCUGUAGAAGAUAACAAAUUUAAUAUAAAAAAAUUGAAAAUUCUAUUGUAAAAACUUUUAAAUUAUUGUUCUAAAAUUCUUUUUUGUAACAUGUUUUUAAAAUAUAUAAACUUUUAUGUGUAUUUAUUUUAAAAUGGUAAUGCAAAUUUAAUUAUUUAUUUAAUUUAGUAUGUAGGUAUAUAUAUAUAUAUAUAUAUAUAUCAAUUUUUUCAAUUAAGCAAUUUUACUUUAUCUAUUUUUUUAAAUACUAAAAAAUAAAUCACUUAUAUUGAAUUUAUAAAACAAACGUGAAAUACCAAGAUAAUCUUUAAUUAUGUUAGUUUUUUUAAAAAAUUUAGUUGAAAUUGAACCUCUAAGGUUGAUUAGAAUUUAAUAAGAUUAUUCAAUUUGUAUGAAAAAUUAUUAAAUAUAAUAAUAUUCUUUUUAAAAAUUUAUUUUUUUAAAUAGAGCAUAAAAUAAUCUAUACAUGAUUAAGGUAUAAAAUCAUAUCCUUAAAAGUUUAUCUAGUUGUUGAGAUUUCAUUCUGGCUUAGUUAUGUGUGUGUAUAUAUAUAUAUAUAUAUAUAUAUAUGUAUUACUAAAAGUUUUAUAAAGCUUUAGAUGGUUUAUUCCUUACUUGAUUUGUGCUAAUUUUAAAUAAUGUUUUUAUUUGUUUUUUUUGUAUAAUCUUGUUUUGAUGUAAAAAAAUAUUAGAAAAAAUAUAUAUAUAUCUAUAUAUAUAUCUAUAUAUAUAUAUAUAUAUAUAUAUAUAUAUAUAUUUUUAAUGCAAUUAGAAGAAUCAAUAAAAAAUCCUUAGAUACAAUAAAAUAAAUUUUAUUUAAAAUAUAAACAAAAACCAAUAAAUAAAUAAAUAUACAUAUACCUUUGAAACAAAAAAUUAUAUCAAAAUAAUGUUCUAUGUCAAUACAAAUAAAAACCAUGAUUGAUUAAACUUAUAAUGUUAAUACAUUUUAACAUGAAAUAAUUUAAUGUUAUUAAAUUAAUUAAUUAAAAUAAGGGAAUUGUUAAAUUAACCUAUGCAUUUACUAAACUGAUCCACCUAGCAUCAUUAGUUACAAAUCCAACUAUUGUUUUAGUGGUUUUCAAUCAAUACAGAGCUAAUAGUAGGAAAUUUUUGGAUGAUGGUUAGGAUGGGUGGAUUGAUUUAGUAAGAAUGUGAAAUUAUAAUUUUAAAUCAUAACAUAUAAAUUAUUAGACAAACACAUGUUUGUGUAAAGGUUAGUUAUUAAUAUAUACAAAUGUAAAUAUAAAAUUUUAUUGUAGAAUUUCAAAACUUGUAGCAUAAAUUGUUACAAAAUUAAUUAUUUAUUUGUAAUAAUUAAACAAUACAAAUUGAUUUAAUUUUUUAUUUUAGAUAUAUUAUUUUGAUUAUUAGAUAAUAUUAAUUAAAUAAUAAACUGUUAUAAUUUUCUCAAUCAAUAAAUACUUUUUUGUUUAUUGGCUCUAAAGAUAAAUCUUAAAAGUUUAGAAAUGAAAAUUAAAUUCUAAAAUUUAAAUUCUAAAUUCAAAUUGUAAAAUCUUAUAUAUGAUAUUAAACCCACAUCUAAAUAUUUUACUUUGACACUUGUGGCACAAAUAUGCAACAAUAAAUUUCAAAAUACUUGAAACGAAAUUGAUUAAACAUUGUAAAAAUCGUAAGAAAUUUUUAUUUUUAUUUGUUUGAUUUCUUCUUAUUCCUGUAUCAAUGAUUCUAAAGCACUAAAUAUAGAUCUUGUCAAGAAAGAAGAAAAAGAGCACCACAUAAGAUUGGAUUUGUAAUCUUUUUAAAUAAAUAGUUUAUUGAACUUUAUCCUGUUUUGUUUAUUUAAUCAUUUAUGAGGUUACAUAAUAGCAAAACAUGUUUCUGCAAAGAACAUCUUCUUUUCCAUUGAUGUAUUCUUUGACAAACUAAUAUUUUUUUCUUUAAACCAUUGUAAUUAAUAUCACCACAAUCUUUCUCCAUCCUUUUCUUUUUCAUAAUCUUAUUUACUUGAAGAAUUUAAUAUUUGUGGCAUUUGAGCAUAUUCUAAUUUUCAAUAUUAACAAUUAAUAGAGCUAAAAACAUUAUAAUAGAUUGCAAACAAUAUGUAGUAUUCUUAUUUUAUAUAUAUAUAUAUAUAUAUAUAUAUUGGUUUCUUUAAAAUCAUUUACAAUAAGAUGAAUGAAAUUAAAAUUAAAAGCUAUUUUGACAAUGUUUAAAGCUUUAAAGUUAGAAAUUAAUUUUUUACUUAAAUAUUACCAUGAUCUUUUUAUUGUCUACUUUUACUUUUUGAAAAACUUCAACACAAAAAUGUUUCAUUUGUCAAAAAAUCUUAAUAAAUUCAGACGUUUAAAGAAAGAAUCAGGUUUUUUGAAAAUUGAUUAUUGAAUAUGAUAACAUUGUUUUAGUAGUGUGUAAAUAAGAACUAAGAUAUUUAUUUCAAACUUGUUAUGAAACAUUAUGUGUGAUGGAGACGGACAUUGUAUGCAACUAAUAUUGCAAUCAAAAUCAAACAAUUUUACCAAAAACUGAAGUCCCCCAAAAAAAUUCUAUGUAUAUAUACAUGUUUACUUAUUUAUUAAACCAAUGUUUGCACACUUUCUGGAGUUCAUUCUUCAACCCACCUGUUAGAUGUGCAACUGUCUUUGCCUAUUUCAACCUCAAAAAACUAUUCAUGCGUCAAACAACCAAUGCAGUAAUGAAGACACUGGAAAGGCCAAAGCUCCCUAUACGAUUAGGUUUAAAACUUAGGGUUAAAAACUCAGCUACAGACACAGAUUAUGAGACUUCCACCCAAAUCGAAGUGUCACUGGAUCUCUCCACAAAAUGAUUUUGACAUGGGUUUUGCCGAAGUUCAGAACAUGCAUCAAUUCAGUUCUCAACCACUGAAAUCCUCAGAGAAGAUUGUUUUUUUUUUUGUUUUUUUGUUAUUGUUGGUGUUUUUGUGUUUAGGGUUUGCUCACCUUGUGAAGGUAGCCGUGUCGAUGGCCAGGUCUUGAGUGUGCCCUCUUGCUUGCAGUAGAUGAAUUGCCGCUUCAGUGAGCGUAGAGGUUUUGAGGAAUCUGAAGCAACAACGAGAGGUUGUGAGACAAAGCCCCAGGAGACGAUCCCUUCUUCAUUUCACAUGGAUAGCAUUACGGAGAAAUCCCUGGCCCUGCUUCACUGAUUGACCAUGGCGCUCACUUUUUGGGGUCGUUGCUCGUGCUUAAAGACCUCACUUCAAGUGACAGAAGUUGGUCCCACUCCCUCCAACGCACUUUGAUCGCAGCUAUUAGUGGGGGUUUCAAUGUGGCCGUCAUCAGCGCUAGUUUCGGAGGACGAAGUCUUGGUGCUGUAUUGUCGAGAUUGAUGUUGGUUCUCCUUGUGGGCGCCUGGAUAUCUCAUCAACUUUCUACUUCUGUGUGGUAUUGGAGUGUCGGGGCUUUACAGAUUGAGUAUUGGGUUUCCGGGGUUUUCCACAUUUCCUGGACUUGGUGUUGAAGUGUGGAUGGGAUUUACUUUCCUUACAGCUGGCGUGCGAGAUUGGAGCCACUGUUGUUCUGUGUUAUUGCAGCAUCCCAAGGAGUACUCAUUGCGGGGCUCCUCUUUAUGCUUUCCGCUUGGAUAUCCACGUGCAUGAUCUACUGAUUUGGCCUGGUUCACGAGAUUUGUAGGCCAUACGCGAAGCCUCCGAUUCAUUGCCGAAGCAUUUUCACACUUUAUUCUGGGAAUUCCUUUUCAGGCUCGGCCUAAAGCCCAUGAACUUUGCAUACAUCACUGUGAUGAAACAUCUUAAAGAUUGCAAAGCGAAAUUCUUGCGUGGAUACCUUUAAGAAUGUGGUGAGAUGUGGUGUAGCAACGCUAUACGGAGGUACACUUGAUAAAUCUGUGUGAUCUGAGUUUCCGUUUUAUUCCUUGAAUACUUCUCGAAUUACAUUCCCGUCUUUUAACGAACCAAUAGGCACAAAAAUGAAGUCCUUUCAAUACUGCAAAAAAUGCUACUGAACGUGGAUAAAAUACGGCUACUAGGUGAAUAUCUUCACAACCACGAGAUGUUUGAAACACAGGUUAGGCUGGAUUGGGAUCGAUGAAGGGAUAUGACACCAAUUGCAACCAACAACUGCUUGAAUUUUGAUCUUUUUGCAGUUUGAAUCUAAUGUAUAAAACACCACCAAGGAAGGCUGAAAAGAAAGUUAUGCCUCUGAACAUUCAGACAAUAGCAGUAGCUAAAUCCAUCCUUCACAAAUCCUCUCUAGCUUGAAUUGUGUUCUCACAAAACCUACAGCUGGUGGCAGAGAGAAGUCCACCUUUUUAAGGCAAAGACCAUGAACAUAGUAAAAUCAACCCUCUAAACCAAGAAACAUCGGAAUCAAAACCGUGCCAUUCACUAAACAAAUCAGUGGAUGCAGCCACUGUGCAUACCACAGCUGAGUCCCAAGGACAAGACAAGCACAAGGCCACGAUGCAUGAAAGACUCCAAUGAAAGUCACCCACACAAAUACAUGUUUGGCAUUGUCCUUAAUACUACAAAAGUGAGGAUCUCACUAAGUAUUAAACAUGUAACUCCCUUUUCUGGAUGCUUAUGAUCAUGUGGAUGUGUAUCUCCAUGUUGGGUGUUUCAUAGACACAUGGAGCUAUGUAUAUAUCUACAUGAUUCUAGAUAAUAAUGAUGUAUUCUAUCUCCAUGUUGUCAAAUCCACCAGACUAGUAAGACAUGUAAAUAUUAUCAACAAUGAUUACAGUGGUAUUCUAAGGUAACACCCUCUGAAAAAAUAACUAUGUCCAGAACGGCCAGUGAUAAUUUUUUAUAAUUAUUCAUGCAUUAUAUACAAAUAUUUCCAAUAAAUAAGUGCUUGUAAUAAAAAAUAAUUAAUCAUUUUUCCUUGCAUUUUUUAAAUUAAAAAAAAUAAUUAAAAUUUAAUUUAUAAAAAUACUUUUUAUCUUUAUCUUUAUUUUUAUUUUUAAGAUUAGGUGAUUAUUUCAUAUUACCAAUUAUUUUUUAUUAAAGUUUUAUAGAAUAAGGAAAAAGCUUUUAUAAAUGAAUAGAUAUGAUUUCUUUGCUUAUAAGUAAUUUGACUAUAUCUUAAAAGUUUCAAGUUUUAAAAUUUGAAACUUGAAAAUUCAAUUUAAAGUUUAAUCUAAUGUUAGUUAUACAAUUAUAUUCAAAUACAUUAAAUUCAAAUAGUUUUUGUAAAUUUGAAUUAGAUAUAAUACUAAUUUUUUAUGAUUAAUUUUUUAUUUUAUUUUAUUAAAACCAUCUUUAUGAUUUUAAGUAAAAAAUAAUUAGAGUUUAUUUUUUAGUAUUUUAAUAUUUCAAACUGAUACAUAUAUAUAUAUAUAUAUAUAUAUAUAGAUAUAUAUAUAGAUAUAUAUAAAUUUACAUAUAUAUAAAUUUAAUGUGAAAAAAAUAAUAUCAAUCUUUUCAAUUUGAACGUUUAAACAUCUCCUAUGAAGAAAUUACAAAAUAAAAUAUAUAUCCUACUAGAAUUAUUAGUCUUUAUAAUUAUUUUUAUACAAAUACUUCUAAUCUUUAAUAGAGUGUAAUUUCAUGUUAAUAAAUAUGUUAUAUCUAAAAAUCAAUUAUAAGAUUUGUGAUUUAAAUCUAAUAUUAAGUUUUAUCUACAAUAAUAAAGUAUGAAACUAACAUUAUAAAUAAGAAUGUAUAAUACCUACAUUAGAUAAUUUAUUCAAAAAUAUAAAAAAUAUAUAUUUAUAUAAUUUUAAGUAGAGAAUGAAAAAUCAACUCAAUGUAUAAAAUAAUUAUUAGUAAGCCAAAAAUACUUUCAAUUGAAUUUAAUAAAACUUUCUUUAUCAUAAAAAUUUAAUGCAACUUCAAUAUUUAUAUUAUUUUCAAAUCAAAUUAUUUAAUAAUUAUUAUUUAAUUACUUUGAUAGAAUUUUUAUUUUUAAAUAAAAUUAAUAUCUAAAUAUAUUAAUUAUAUAAGAUUUCUUAAUGUUAAGAACAUAAAUUAUCAUAAAAAUCUUAAGAAGCAAUACAUUCUUGUAAUAUUCAUAAUAAGAAAGUAGAAAUAUUAAAGUUAGAUAUAAGAUAGAAAUUAGGAUGACUAUUACCAAAUACAAAGAGACUAGAGAUUCUUGAGCUAAGAUAAGAAUACAAAAAAAACAUUGAAAGGAGUGAAAAAAGUCUCAUCAUUGCUUCUAUGCAUAUUAUUUAACUAAGAACCUAUAUGUUAAUAUUCUUUAGUUCAUUUGAUAUGUGUGCAACUUGUGAGACACAAAUUUAACUUGAAAGGCAUGUUUUCAACAUAUACACCAAAUUAUAUUCAAUACUAAUAUAAAAAAAAUAUUUUUUUCCAAUUGGAAAAUUUCUCAAGAUUACAAAAACUCUUACUAAUUCUAAAAAUCAAAUAUCCAAGAUCCUAAAACAUGGUUGAUGAGCUUGCUUCUAUAAUUGAUUGGAAUUAUGUAUACACAAAAAUCUAUCUUAAUACUAUGAAGUCUAUUAUACAAAUUGCAAGUAAGCACUAAAGAAGUAAAUAUCAAUAGCAAUUAGGAGGUGAGCUUAGAAGUAGGCAUCAUUUGAAGAAAGCAUAAUAGUUUACUAGUCUAGCUUUAUAAUACUAUAAAUUUUCACUUGGUGGAAUCAUUAAAAAUAUACUUUUGAAUUAUUUAAAUUAAAAAUAUUAAGAUUAUAAAAAAAAUAUCAUUUAAUUAUUUAUUAGAAUUUAAAAAAAUUUAUAAGGUACAAGAAUCUUAUAAGAAGAAUAGUUAUAAAAAUGGAGUAUUAAUAAAUCUUAGAAGCAAUUAUCUUGAUUGGUUUAGUAUUUUUACUUAUUUUUGAGUGAUAAUGGCUAAUUAUUGAGAUAAAUUUCUAAGUUAACCUUCUAUCUAUAUGUAUUACUUGUAAAGAUAUCUAUAAAUAUUAGUUAGUAGUUAAAAGAAGCAUAAGAAAGAAUAUCAUGUCUUUUUAAUUAUUUUUCCUACGAAUAGAAUUUUUAGUUGAUUUAAAUUGAUAUUAUUAUUAUAAAAAGUAAUCAAGGAAGAAAAAUAUAUUCUUAAAUUGAUAUUAUAAUUAUUAAAAUAUUAUAUAAAUAUUUUAAAAUUAUUUAGAAUUAUUUCAAAAAACUUAGAAAUUUUUUUAAGACUUUGAUAAAAUUAAGUUUUACCACCUUGGGAGCUAUUAUGAAGAAAUGGAGCAAGAUUUGAAGGCCAUACAAUGAUUUUAGGUUAAUUGGAUGUUUUUAAACACCAUAAUAAAGUAAAAAAUGUAAAAAAAUAGUCCUACUAGUAAAAAAUAAGAGGACCAAAUCCUAUAUGGAUUGUAGUACCUUGAAUAUAAUUAGGAAGAUAAGACUAAGGCCUUGAGGCCUCUAUAGGACCCUAGAUGCACUAUAUAUGAGCUUUAGUGAGGUUCAAAUGCUUGAUCUAUAAAUAAUAUAAUCUUGAAAUAAAAUAUUUUUACUUAAUUUUUUAAUUAUUACUUAUUAUCUUUAAACGUUCAUAACUUAAUCAUUGAAAGUUAGAUUUAUAUAUUUUUUAAGUCAUUAAAAAGAUAAUAAAAUUUUCUUUUAAAAAAUAUAUUUUUUUAAACAAUAUAAUUUAUUUUUAAAAAAAUAUAAAUUUUAUUUUUCACUUUUUAUUUUUUAUUAAAUAAAAACCUAGCAAAUAGUUUGUAACUUAGUUUUGAAGUGUGUAAUUACUUGAAUAAAAUUCUUUUAUUAGUUUUAUGAUUUUUAUUCUUUUUUUCUUGUUAUUUUCUUAUCUCACUCUAUUAACUCAUCUUUACAUGAUGUGAUAUUCUUUUAGUACAUGCAAAUAGCAUUGUCGCUAGAUUAGCUAGCAAAGAUUGUUAUACUCUAUGUACUUUUGUAAAAAACUCCUAUUUGUUUUAACUUGCUCGGAGUAAAGAUGGGUCUAACUUUGUAGGUUUAAAGAAUUGAAGCAUGAGUGUAAAUAAUCAAGAAUAGAAUUUUGAAGGCCAAACUAAUAUGUAAUUUGAAAUGACAAUCACGUCCUUGUGCAUUUGUCAGUAAAGAUUAUUAUCUUAGCAUAACUUGCAUCCUUUGAAAAGAUUAUUUUCCUUCAAAAAGUUGUACAUACAUCUUUUGGAAAGUUAUUGCAAAGUAAAGCAACUAUAUAGUUGAUUCAUUUUGCUUUAUAGUAUAUAAUAUGUAUUUUUUUGGAUUCUAUGUUUUUGACUCCUACUUCCAAAAAUUUAUAUAAGUUUAGCAUGUUUUUACUUUGUUGUUUUUGUGUAUAUUAUAAUGAAAGUUGCUGCCAAAUAUUUAUGUUACAGGUGAAUGAAUCACAUUUGUUAAUCUUACUUGCCUUGUUUGAGGUAACAAAAAAUAGUCUUAAACAAUGGUGAGUAAAUCAAAUUAUAAAAAAAAAAAAAAAAAAAAAAAAAAAAAAAAAACCUUUUAUGUAAUAAAAAAAUAAUAAAUUAUUUAUAUUAAUAUUGACAUGAAAUAACAAAUAUGAGUUAGGAAUAGACGAUCAACCACUCAACUAAAGACUGCAAAUGAUUCUUGAAGUUGAAAAUACAUGACUUAUUCAAGUCACUUAUAGUGGCAAUUAUUCUGCCACCAUAUCUAUUGUGUCUUCUAUAUCAUUGUUAUAGUAUUUUGGAUGUUGAAACUUAUGUAUGGUUGGAUGAAUUGAGUGCAUGCUUUAUUUAUUCUUAAAAUUUUAUAUUUAUAUUUGAUCAUCCAAUUGCAUAUAUAGUAUUUGUGUUUAUUAUUGUUUUCAAAUUAUUGAAUUAGAAGAUGUUAUAAUGAUUAUUAUGGUCUAGUGUCUUUUUAUUACCUCAUUUUUUUAAUCAAGAAUUGGCAAAAGACAGAGACGUAUUGACUUGAAACCACAAUUGAUCACAAAUAAUUAAAACAUGAUAAUUUAAUAACUGUUAAAGUACUAAAAAUUGUAAAAGCUCUUGAACAAUAGUGAGUAGUUUUGAUAUGAUAUGGAAGAACUAGGAAAACUACCAUUACUAGUACUUAAUGAUUUUCCUUUGAGUUUUUGUAAGAGCAUAGAGCUUUUAAACAUAUUUAAAUGCUUGUCUCUUUUUACUUAAUUUCUUUACCCACUUUACAUUUUUAAUUGAAAGAACUAAAGAACAUUUCUUUAAUUGUAGAAAAUAAAUAUUUUAUAUGACACAAAUGUAUUAUCUAUAGGUAUAAAAGAUCAACAAUAGUAUUUACCAAAUUAUGAACAUAACAAAAAAAAUUCUACAAGCAAUAAACAUACAUGUUAUAUUUACAAUUUAGCUUAUAAUAAACUUCAUGUCAGUUCCAUUAUAAUUUAGUCGCCUUGCCAAAUGUUAUUUAUUAAUUAUUUCAAAUUAUUUUGGUUUCUUUCUAUUGUAGAUUUAAAAAAGUUGUACACACAAAAAAAGAAUCAAGAUUACCAACUUAGUAUUUUUGGGCGUAUGAAUACAAAAAUUACUACUUAUCUUAGUCAAGUUGGAUGCAGAGCCUAAUGAAUUAUUAAAAUCAUCAUGCUUUGUAAUUAUAAUUGUUGCAUGAGUGCAUUACGGCAUGUCUCUAACUCUAGACAUUUGAUAUUAUAGUAAUCAAAGUAAAGGAAUAAAUUAUGCUUGUUAAGAAAACUAGCAACUUGAAUAGGUGACCAUCAAACUCUAAUGACCUUGUAUGAUCUUGUUGAAUUAUAAUUUAUUUAUUUUUCAUGUAAAAAAUUAUAAAUAUAUUCUUUUUUAAUUUUCUUAAUCUUUUUUAAUGUUUACUUGAAAAGAAUCUUGUUUCUUAGGCAUUUCUAGUUGAAUUUAUAUAUUAUGAUUAACUCAUGGUGUAUGAAGCAUUAUGAUAUUAUUCCCUGUAUUAAAGUACUUUUGGAGUACAUUUGAUAUAUAAGAAAAUAUUGUAGUUUUAAUUUUCUAUAAUGAAUGAGAAUUUAACUAUCUUCUAAUCUAAUACUUAAUAAUAACACUACUUUGUAGCAAAUUUUUCUUAUGAAGUUUUUAAAAAACAUAUAUCAAUAUUAUUAUAUAACCUUAUUUAUAACAUUGAAGAAUAGAUUAUGGAUAUUUAUCAUUGUCAUAUCAUAGCUAAGCUUUUGGAUACAUUUCUAAUGUAUAUAUUAAUACUUUUGUGCUUUCUAUUUGGUUCUUAGAUACAAAAACCUUCAUGGUUUAAAAAAUAUAUAUAAUAGUCAUAUUCAAGAUAUUGGUAAUAUUGCUGUAAUAUAAGAUAUUGUUGGAGAUAUUUGGAGACAAUGUAAAGUAUAUGUAAAAUAAAUAAAAUUUGUUUUGAAGGCGAAAGAUAUUCUUAACAAAAAUCAAUGUAUUAAGCAUUCUAAAAGUCUUGAUCAUGGUAUGGAAAUAUUUCAAGAAUUAAUAUAAUAUAGAAGUGAUGAUUUCGAAUGUGGAUUUAUAAUUAGUGAAUUCAUUCUUAUAAUAAGUAAUAUUUAUUUACUAGUAAAUUAUUGUGGUAAAAAAUAUUGGUGUAAAUCAACUAUAUUUCAAUUAAACAUCAAAGAGAAUUUUAAAAAAUUACUUGGAGAUUUGAAGUCUUAUUAUAAUAUUGGAAUUAUUAUGCUUUUGAAUCAUUUAUCAAAAAGAACUCAAAGUGCUUCAUCAAUUAUGUUUGAUAUUAUAAAUUUAAAUGAAGUUGAAGUCAAUAAAAAAAAUUAUAUGAAAGAUUAAAAAAAUACAAAGGAGGAUUUUCAAAAUGAUAAAUUAAUAGAGCAUUUUUUAAAAGAUUGGAGGACUCACAUUACAUAGAAGGUAGAGAAUUAGAUGUAAUGCAAGUUUCAUUUGACAAGAUAAUUCUAAAAAUUAUGGAAUAUAUAAAUUAAAGAGUUCAUGGAGAAGAUUACAAAAUUAGGUGGUUAGGACUUUGAAGUGCAACAAAAGACAUUGAUGUUAUAUUUAAUGUAUAUUUUGACAAAGAAGUGAACACUUUAGGAAGAUUGAGCCAUCCCAACUUCAUAAAAUAUUUUUGUGCUUUAAAAGAUGUUUUCAAAAGUGUUAAAAUAAAGAAAAAUAGAAAGUUAUAUUUAGUCAUGAAAUUAAUGAAAAUAAGCUUGAGUAAUAUGUUGGAGGAAAAAAAUCAAUAUAUUGUAUAUUUGUCAUUGAUGUUAUGCAUCAAAUUGAAUAAGAUUAUUAAAUAUGCUUUUGUUAAACUGAUUGAAUUUGGAAUGUUAAAGAUUGAUGUUGGAAAAGAACCAGAAGCUUUAAAAAAUGAUCUUAUAUAUAUAUAUAUAUAAAUAUAUAUAUGGAACUAUAGCAUACAUAGCUCAUGAGUCUGUCAAAAAAUUAAAUCAAGUAAUAAAAUUGUGUCCUUUUGAAGACAAUAUGUAAUCCUUUGCAAUGAUAUGUUCAAAGAUUCUUUUAAGAAAAGAUCUAUUUCAUAACAUAAAUAAUAAAAAAGUGAGAUUUUAAAACUAGUAGAAAAAGAUAAAAGACCAAAAUUUCCUUCAAAUUUUAAAGAAUCAACUUAAUUGUUAAAAGAAUGUUAGAAUUUAGAUCCUUAACAAUGACCAACAUUUACAAAUAUUUGUAAAAGACUCACCAUGAUUAAGAAGAAGGUUUUGGAAGAAGUUUAUAUUGCAAGAAGACCACUUUUUGGUGCAUCUAAGAAUAGUGUCAAUUAAAAAAUACAACCACAACAAAAACAUAAUAAUGUGUCACUAAUAUUAUUUUAACUAAUGAAUUUGUUGAUUAAAAACAUACAAAAUUUUAUUCAUUUUUUUCUUUUAUAUAUAUGUAUAUAUAUAUAUAUAUAUAUAUAUAUAUAAUAUUUUAUUAAGAUUUUAUAAUAACACCUUUUAAUUCUUUUAUUUACAUAUUGUAUUUUGUCCAUGCAAGUUGAUUUGGAUUUCAAUAAGUUGUUGGGAAGAAAAUAAUGUAGGUUGGAAAUUUCUCAACUAUGCAUGAAAAAAGUUAAAGCAUUAUAUCUAUUUGGUAUGGGAGGAAUUUACAAGAUUAUAAUUGCAUAUGUAUAAUACUUCAUGCUUUGUUGAGAAUAUUCAAUAUAAUGGCAAUUGUUGUGCAACUUCUUGGAAUAUUUUAGAACAAUUCAAAGUGAAAGACAAACCAAAGGAUUUAAAAGAAGUACAAGAAUUGUUGAAAUCCUUUAUUAUACAAAAAAAAAAUUUACUUUGGUAUUAGAUGAUAUAAAAUAUGAAAGUCAAAUUGAAGAUAUUGUGUUGUUAGAUAUCCUAUGUGGUAACAAUGGUAGCACAUUAAUCGUUACAAUACAAGAUUGGAAAGCAAUGAAAGAUUAUUAUACAAAGGUUCAUGUAAUAGAUAUUAAAGGAUUUAACUAAGAUGCAAGUUUUGUUUCAUGGUCUCUCAACUCUUGUUCUAACAUAGAUUUGAACAUAAAAAACCUUUAAAAUAACUUAUGAAAUUGAAAUUAUUUGCAACUUGAGAAUAAAGAUUUUUUCAAGAACUUACUAUUAAGAUUAAUUAACCAGAAAUAAAUAUUUUCUACUUGCUGCAAAAAAUCCGGUAACACCUACACUAUAGCAAAUUCUUGGGGAUAUCCCAGACUCUUUUUCGUUCAUUUGUUUCUAUGAACAUAAUUAACAAAGUCACUUGCAUUGAGUGCAUAUUUUCACCAAAAGUUGAUCCAAUUUGCAAUAAAGUCUAUUUGCAAAUUUUAUGUUCAAAACAAAUAUAGCCACUUGAAUCAGGUCAACCCAUUUUCAUUGUCGUUAGUCUACAUCACCAUUGAUCUUCUCAUGCAUUUGGACCAUAUUGACUUAGUUCAAGGCAGAAAAACUGGAUCAUACAUAGAGCAUAAGAACAAGUGAGAACUGCUGUCAACAUUAAGAGGAUUGAAUUAUGCAGAUGUAAGCACAAGAAUAAGAAAGUUUUCACACACCCCAGGCCAGGAAGGUGCCAAGAUAGCAUCAUCAAGUUGGGGAUGCAGCACUUCUCAGAAUGGUGACUUCUAAGAACGAUGACUUCUAAGAUUUUUGUUCAAGAUAAAUCCCUGACAACCUAAUCCUUUGACAGACAUCUGAUUGGUAUGCCAUUAUGGUACAAUCUGAAGUGUCUAAAGAGUGGGCUACAAGUGUUUAGGGUGCCAAGACAUACAUCUCCCUAAGCCACAGCUAGUAGGGAAUAAAUAAGUGAAUCACAAAAAACUGAGACGUAGUAAACUGAAUUCUUAAGGUACAAGCUUGAACCCGCAAACACCGUGUUACCCAAUGCGUGCUGAUGUACUUUGGCCUUUAUGGUACAAUGUUAACACCUGCUGCCGGCGGUACUGAGCAAGAAUUACGACCUGAUCGUAAGUGGCCUAGCGGCCUCGGGCUUCCUCGUCAGAAUGAGGUGAUCUGUAGAAGUUGCUGAGUUCGCUGGGACACGGGGAGAGGGUAUCAGCCUCCAACAAUUGAACCACUCGAUCCAUUGUAGGGCGCUCUUCCGGCAAAGCAUUAAUACACAUCACAGCAAUCUGCAGAACAGACUCCAGCUGAUCCUUUGGAGCUCCAUCUAUGAUCCUCGGGUCAAAAAUCUCAAACUGCAUAUUCUCCUUGAUGCAGAGCGUAACCUGGAAAUGCAGAGAAGACCGAUGGUUAAGACUUGUUUAUCGAGUCCUGAUCCCAUGUUAUACCAAAUACUUCAGUUACAUGAGAUCAGAGUAAAAUACUCCGUGCACCAAUUAUUCAACAGCUUCAAUGCUCUGCCUGAAAACUAAGCAGCAAAGCUGACUAAAUCCAACUUUCACUUGAUUGAUAUCUAUAUCGAGACGCGUUUGGCAACGAUGAGGAUUUCUUAGAACACAAUCGACGUGUAACAAAGUCAUGCACCGAACUCUUACCCAACCAACUAGGUUCAAGCCUUCCGCAAUGAGAGAAGGAUCACUGGGGCGUCGGCCACUUAAAAGCUCCAACAAUACGACACCAUAGCUGUACACGUCCCCUUUCUCAGUGGCGCGCCCAGUAUGCAUAUAUUCUGCAUGACAGACAACCUAGUAUAAGAUUACAGUCACUCGGGUUCCUAAACAAUAACAGACAUCGAAUACUUCUUGCUUACAAACUCCCAUUUACUGACCGUGAGCUAACAAGAACAAGCAGAAUCACGACCAUGACCAUCAGCAAGCAAUCGAACUCUUCUGGGCGUUCAGAUUGUCGACCAGAACGUAAGUUGUAUUCUCAACAUUGUUAGUAUUAGGAAAAUACCUGGUGCAAGGUAGCCAAAGGUACCAGCAACAAUAGUAGUCACAUGAGAGGCUUUGUCUUCCAACAGCUUGGCCAAGCCAAAGUCAGACACAUGAGGAUCUAAAUUUUCAUCCAAUAGAAUAUUGCUUGAUUUGAUGUCGCGGUGGAUUAUGCGAGGGCUGCAGUCAUGAUGCAAGUAAGCAAGCCCUCGGGCAGCCCCAAUGGCGAUCUUCAAACGCGCUGCCCAGUUUAGCAACACCUCUUGCGGCUCUCUAUCUGCCGAAUACGAAUCAGCAAGCUGUGGGUUAGUCACCAAAAAUGGACUGACGUGAAGUUCACUAUUUUCAAUCGGUCAGCUUAAACGCAAGAAAGUGCAACAGAUUCUUGUUCAUGUGAAAAUGUGUGGCAAUGUAGUCAUUAUAGCUAAUCGAGAUAACUACUUAAUACUAAUUUAUUUAAAAAUCAAGUAGCUAAUUUCAAUUCAAAAGCAUAUAUGACGCUCUUCCCAAUCCAAGUUCUUGAAGCCUCUUAACAUUGCAGAACUGAAAAUUAAAGCGAACUCAGAAGUCGGACACAGACCGUGAAGAAACUCUUCCAGGUUUCCGCAGGGCAAGUAGUCGUAUAUCAGAAGCUUGGCAGUUGGAGAGUUGCAGUAGCCACGUAGGUUGACGAGAUUUCGGUGCUUAAAACUACCCAAAAUUUCCAGCUCCCUUUCGAAGACGCGAUCAGACGAUAAUCCAAAUACUCCAAUCCGUUUUACUGCGUAAAUUUUGCCAUCAUCCAUAACCAAGCGAUACACCGUGCCAAACCCACCAGAGCCUAUCAUGUCCCUUUCAUCAAGCAGGUCCAUUUUCUUUAUGAUAUUCAAAGUCGUGUAGGGCAGAUCGCCAUGGAAAUUUACCACCUUAGCUCCAUGGUAUGCUGCAUGAUGAGACCAACAUGUUAUUUUUAAAAAUUUGGAAUAUGGAGAUACAAAGAAUGACGAAACAAACUCGACUCAAGGACAACUACUCGGUAAUCCCUCUAAAUGUUUCUUAAAAUGCACCAUUGUCAGUAUCAACAAGGGUUCAAACUUCCAGCUUCAGAUAUUUAACAUCACAUACAUUGAGAUAAAUUCUACAGAAUGUUACAGCACGGCAUUAGAUCGCACCUUCUACACCUUUGACUUUUCCCAGAACUUGCUUCUGUUUUCCAUAUUUAUUAUGUAAGAACCAACCCCAGAAGCACAUUAGAGCAAUUAAUAAGGCAAUGCAUACAGUACUCAUUGCACUUAUCAAAAGUGCAUUGGAGUACCCGUGCUUCUGAGAUGUUAUAGUAGGCUCUACAGUAGAUCCCCCUGCAGCUGCACAAAUCACGUGUUAUUAUGAAAGAAGUUGAAUCUGUGCACGUAAUUAAUGCAGGUAACUAAUUCAAUUCCUAAAAAAAUUAAUCUGUCUCUCGAUUGUGUUAUGAAAACAUUUAGACAUUCAGACUUCUCUGUACCUCUUUCCAUAUACUGAGGUUGCCUUAGAUCAAUCCAACAACUCCUUAUCAAUCAUACCUCAUGUAUUUAGAUGUAAUGUAUAUAGCAUUUUUCAGCUUCACACCCGUCAUAACACAUAAAGUAUAAGCAGUACUAUUCAGUAGAACCUGAGGCUAUAGCAGGAGACGGAGCAGGACUGUUUCCAUCUCCAAAAGGUAGAGGCUCAGAGUACGGUGGUGCGCUUGCUGGAGUUGGUUUCCAUGGUGCGGGGGCGGGUGCUGGAGAGAUACCCUGACAAAUUAUCUUCACUUGUGAACCGCAAAGGCCUGGGUUCUCUAGGAACCUGCAAGACACAUUGACUCGUUCAAUUUCACUGCAUGCACAACAAAAUUUUAAAAAAUUAGCACAUCCUCCAAAAUAACUUCUGAAAGGAUAGGCACUCACGACUGGGAAGUGAAGUUUUUUAAGACCCCAUUUGUUGGAAUAUCGCCCGAGAGAAAAUUAGAGGAAACGUUUCUGCACAGAAAAUCCAGAGCCGUUAACAUUUUAAAAUACCUGACUACAGAGCAGAGAAGUAAAUUGACCUCAGUAUACUGAUGUUCCACACCUCAACGAUCCCACACCUUUCGACACGACAUCAAUAUGAAAGAGAAUGAGGUUCCAAAGACAUUGCAUGUACAGAGAAGACUUGAAGACUUACAAAAAGGUGAGCCUGAAUAGCGAUCCAAUAGAACUAGGAAUGCUACCCGUUAGUCCAUUACUUGACAAGUCCCUGCAAAAUAUUCCCAAUUUUAUUCCUUUGACCUCAAAAUUUUCGCUGCCUUGUAAACAAAUCCUUAGCAAUACAGAUGCAAUGAAGAGCAGGCACCGAAGGUUUGUGUGGCGGACUGAACGAGGAUACUUACAACACUGCAAGGAGCCUGAGAUUCCCUAGCUCUGUUGGUAUACUCCCAGUGAGAAAAUUCCCCCGCAGAUACCUGCAGAUGUGUAAAAGCUACUAAUGUCAACAAGAAGAAAAAUGCAAUAGUCUAACCUCAUCUUUUCUCCAAUGAUUUGUGAACUUACAAUUGUCGUAAUGAUGUGCAGUUGCCAAGCUCUUUUGGAAUGGGUCCGUAAAGUUUAUUUGAAUGUAGGCUCCUGCAGCACACAGAUUGAAGGAAAUUGUGGUUAAGACAUGGGCAAAAUGAAAGCCUUUAACUCAACUUCAGCCACCUGACAAAGGGUUCAACAGAGGCAAAAAUAACCGCUACAUGUAUGAACUUUCUUGACACCAGUCGCAAAAUAUAGUAUGACUUACGAGAUUUACAUUGAAACUCUAGACUCUACAAAGAAUUCGUGAACCAUCCUAGGAGAAAAAGACGGGUUCUGAAUAGAGGUCAUACAGUCUACUGAGUUGGUCGAGCUUGCCGAUUUCCGGUGAUAUAGGUCCUCGCAACUGUUUGAACGGGAGUACCCUGUCAAAUGAGAUGAUGAUAAGUUCAGCAAGAAUCCACAAACUUAUUUUUCAAAAAAAUAACUUUCAGUAAUUGAUACGUUCCCACAUUCCGCACAGCGACUGUGCGUUACUAGCAAGCUUACUGCUUUUUCUAAUUAUUAGUACUUAACAAACGUGUCAGUUACAGAGACAUGAGGUUGUGACAGGUUUGCUACUUACAACAUCUGCACGCGGCUAGUAUUUAGCAGGCACCUUACUCCGACCCAUCUGCAAGGAUCCGCAUCCGAUUCGUUCCAGUUGGCAAGGCGAUUAUCGGGAUCGAUUAGAAGUUCUUUGAGCGACAUCAAAGCCAAGCCUGGACACACGUGUAACCAUAAUCAGUAUUCCUUAGCACGCAUACUCCAAAUGUCAUCAACAUUGUUAUAAAUCAAGUGCAACUCACUUCCCUGUCACCAAGGAGUAUCCUACUAUUGUGAUGCAAUUAUGAGAGCUGGAAAACAUGUAAAAAAAUCCUCACUGAUGUGUCAAACCACCCUUCUUCACUGAAUGGUUUUCUAUUCAAGACGAACGAAAAUACAAAAAACCACGUUUCCCCGGACAUUCGUAUUUGGAAAAUUAAAAAAUUUGUGGAUCCAGCUCACCAUCAGGUGUCAAUGCUAAGGUUGAGGAUGCCAGAUUCAAGAUAAACACAAACAGGAAAAGUCUAUGAGAAAACACGUUUCUCAUUACAAUUGCACUCUGUGGAAUCUGGUGUAAGCUCUUCGCCUUCCCUCCCUCUCCAAAACUUAGGAUUAUACUUGAUUUCAACAUUGCAUGAUGAAGCCUGCCACACAGAAAACAAUCACACACGAGGAACAUUUUAACUAGAGAAAAGAUAUUAUUUGGAUAGCGGGUCCGAUCCUUAAAACAUCUCCACAAUAGCAGACAAUAGAUAGAAGCAAUCCAUAGAGACAGAGCUGAACAGAAGAAUAAAUGAAGCUUCACCAGAACACAGAUGGUAGUUCUGAUUCAUCUCACGUUUCAAUGGGCAGCUUUUCGGUGAAAUUGCAAUGGGUUGUCCUCUAGUGAAGCAGGCAUCAGUUCCACAAUCUUCCUUCCUUACAGAGGAGUAUUUCGAUCCCGAUUCGACGUCCUGCCUUUAAGGUGAUCGCCGCGUACGAGACAGAAGCGGUUGCAUUCGCCAGUGACCAGAGGGAUCUUCCAAUAAUUUCCGUAGUCUUUCUCCGCCUGAGAAGGAAUUAAAAAAAUAGAUCACGAAUUGAUUGUCCUUACUUCCACACCUGCUACCUGGAUGAAAUGCAGAGUGUAAAAUCGAAUUGGUGACUGCUUUGACUCUCUUCGUAGUCUCUGCUUAACACUCUGCGGUAAUGAUAUCCGUAGUAGAGGUAUAACACUUUGCUACUCUAUAAUCUGUCUAACGGUGAACAGAGCUUGCAAGAAACUAGGUAGGAGCAGCAAUUCUUUGGUGUGAGCAGGUACUCUCCGAAAAGAUAAAAAUGGAAUGCUAGGACAGCUUCUUUCAGAUGUUGAUUGAAUUCGAUAUGAUCAACUUAUUGUGAUGAUAAAAUAGCAAUAGACGCCUACGACUGCCCCCGAGCAGCAGCAGCAAACUCCCUCUCAGAUGCUAUUGAUGCAGCCCUGGAAAGUCUUGUCCCCAUCCGUGAUCACGAGUGUCAAGAUUAAAUGGCUCUAAAUGUUUUGGACAUAUGUCGUUAACCAUUGAUAGUGACAUUGGAACGGAGAAGGACGACAAACCCUGCUACGACACUAAGAGCGUCAACGUCUUCUCUGUUGUGUUAAAUGCUGAGGUACAAUGCUUUCUUGCAAGAGGCAUCACAGACUAAUCUUGCUAAGCUCAAAAAUCCCUCCGGCUGAAGGAAUGAAUGACAAUCAAGAGAAAAAGUUCGGAGAGAAAGACGAUACUACAAGGUCGCUAUUAUCGCCGUGAAUCUACCUUCUUCGCGAACGUAUCCAGUAAACAAAAAAUCUUGUGACCAACCGCGCGUAGCUACUGAAAUCGCAAAAUCCAAAAACCUCAUACAACAAAAGAGCCUGACAACCUCGACCACGCAGUAACGGAAAACACUACUACGUAUUACAUGUACUUCCCACCAACACUUCUCCGCAGUCGGAACGAGCUUGCGAUACAAUGGCAGGCCACUGCAGCUGAAGGGCAAUUCGGAUAUGUGCUACAUGAGAACUACGAAUCAAACAAAAAGGAUGAAGGAAAUAUAAAAUAAGAACGAACCCGUCGCAUUCAUCGCCACUCCAAGUCAAGGCAACUACAACCUCUGUCACAGUGUGUGAGCACCUCCCACAUGCACACAGAAUACCCGGCCUACACUGCGCGGCUUUUUAUCACCUCCAACUCUCUCCAUCUCUCUCUCGCUCCCUCCCACUCCAAUCCCUCUCCCUUUCCAGUCUCUCUGCUCGAUAACGCUUGAGCUGCUUACAUUCUAACGCCAUCAUGACCGCAUCGGAAAGAGAAUCCAAACGAUCCCGACAAAGGCAGGUAGCACACACCACAUCACCGUAGGCAGGACAAUCCACGGAGUAUGAGCAAAGAGAAAAGAGAGAGAUAGAAAGAGAAAUCGAAAUCGAGAGAGAGAGAGAUUAGUUGCAGCAGUCGGAGGCACACAUGGUAAUGGCCGCGGGCACUUGCUCUCCGAGUGUAGCAGCAUUAGCGCCACGGUAUGGAUUACGUUGAGCGCGAUGAUCGCCUGACCCCGCACCUGACACAAAAACCUGCAGAAACACAGUUGCAGCACACCAAUGUGCUCAGCUGCUGCUACUCCUGCUGUCCAAUCUUGCUUGAUUCCACAACGAAGCUCGCAGGGCUGCGCUAAGUUACUCCUCCUGCUUCUUCUUCAGCUUCUUCUGCUCCUACUGCGGCUGAUGUUUGCUUUGCUGCCUGGCGAUCGAUGAGCGGCAAGCUGCCGGAGGCUGCCGUAUUCUGUGGAGGUACACGGUGAUGCAAUUGUCUGCGACCGAGGGACGGAGAGUGGACGUGCGAGAAGAAGGAGGACGAGGAUGGACGGAGAAGCUUCAACGGACGAUGGACCCCAGUCUCCUCCUCCGUCUUCUCCCCUCGUUUCAUUGAACGGAAAUAAAAAUAUUUAUAAAUAGAUAUAGAUAUAACUCCAAGGCCAUGUCACGUCCCCCUGAUUCUCCCUCUCCCUUCGUGCAUCGCGUCCCCAGGCAUGGGGACUGUGCGUAAUUCCAGGAUGCAAACCCCGUUUGACUCCCUCUUUGCCCUUGCUUGCGAGUUGGAUGGAUGGAUGGGUGGAUGAUAUUAGGUUGCCUUGCUUUCCUUCUCCGUGCAGCAUAUGGAAUUUUGGUGUUGGUUUUUAAAGUAUUUAUUCCGACCAUAGUGUUUUGAAAGCUUGGAAUUAGUCUUGAAUCUAAUUCUUUUUUUUGAACUGGCAAUUUCAGGGUGAAAAUUUGCAUGUUUAUGAGUAUGUCUACAUACGAAAAAGACCAGGAAGAUAAAGGACCCAAUUUUGUACCUCUUAUUAUUCUUUUUAAAUAUAAAAUUACAUAUAUCCUUGUAGACAAACAGCAACACUGCACCAUUUCAACCUUCCAACGCUCACUGGAAUUUUUCAAUUGAAUAAUGGACAUCGAAUCUUGAUUGAACACCAGUGUUUGCUUUUUUACAUACGAAACUAUACCUCUAUUUUUGCAACAUUGGACAAUAAAUAUAGCAACUGGAUAGGGAAAUCAAUAUCACAAAAUACAACAGUAUAUCCAUUCAACUUUCUGGGUUAAGACAGGCCUUGGUUAAGGAAUUUUCUCUUGGAUCUUGAGCUACGCUUGACUCACACUGUUCUAAUCAAAAGUAUAUUAAUAAACCCUAUUUUAAGCUUAAUUCCCUCCCCAGCUCCCAAACAUUUAAUAAGUCCUAUUUCAAUCAAAUCUCUCACACUUUGACACAAAAAGGUCCCAAAAGCUCAUGAACGAUCGCUGCUCACGCCAUGAUUGAAGCCAUCUCACCACGAGCCAGCCACAAGAAUCUUUCAAAAAAAGAAAAAAAAAAGAAGCAGGGUUUACUCUACCAAAAAAUUAAAUCGAAACCAAGAGACGGAUUUUUGUCAACGGUGUCCUUUGUGUGUCGUGAGGAGACCAAUAGAGCGGCGAAGCAACUCCAUCGGACACCGAGUUAGAGUCCAAGUAGGCAGACGGGAGUGACAAAGUGGACAACGGCCACCUGGAUCUCCACGUGGAUCCGCCACGAUCACUGGCACGUGUAUCUCUCCCGCCACGGAGAAAGGCUAAAGGAGUGGUAUCUAUAUAAGGGGGGGCUCUGCAACGAUCAUGUGAUGCUUUCCCGCGUGUCCGUGCUGGAUUCCCGGACAAAUUUAAAUUCACCAGGUAUGGCGUUGGCGUCAGAUUAGCGGAGGUGGCACUAAAUUUGGCUGGGCUCUAUCAUUUCGCAAGGCCGUUCUUGCUGAAGCCACUCAGACAGAGCACAUCAAAAAGGCAAAAAAACCCACACGACAAAUUACGGUGACCCUGCUGGUAAUUAGUAAGUGGGGUAACCUCGAUUGCAACUAAUUACAACUAAUUAAAAUUAAAGUGCAAGUUCCUUGAAAUUUGAAACUUCUUCUCUAUGUCAAUGUUUAGUCUAAAAGAUAAAUUCACAACAUAAAGAUAAAUAAUAAGAACCCAAACGUGUUUGUUAUAAACACCAACUACUGGUAUUUAUUAUUACGAUAAAUAGAUAAAUAAAUGUGUAUAUAUAUAUAUAUAUAUAUAUAUGUGUGUGUGUGUGUGUGUGUGUGUGUGUUUCAUUAAGGAUUUGAAUUUUUUUGGUUACAUGAAUAUUACAUCUACUUAAUAAAUAUUAAGCCAGAAAAAGAAAAACUAAGUAUGAAGGAGGUGUUAAAAGUCAAAAUGACUCAUAAAAUUAUUGCUUUCAGUUACAUGGAGAUCCAAAGAACAAGUUUUUCAAAUUAUAUAAACACAAUUAUAAAUGGAGAAUAUUUUAAAAUGUAAAGGCUAAUAUGAAUUGGAUAUGUUUAUUCAACAAAAAAGACAUUAAAAUUAUCAUACUGAGUGGUAUAACAAACAUAUUAAAGCUUUUUUUGUUUCUUCUUAAAUAUUCUGGAAAGUUAUUUAUUCUAAGCAUAGGUCAUUCCUUUCAAGGUCACAAACCAAGAAUCAAAAGCAUUUUAUAUUAAAACAUCAUUUCUUGUUUUAAAAAAAAAUUUGUGUGACUAAAGCUAUAGAGACUAAGGAGUAAAGAGCCACCAAGCAAAAAUAAAAAUUUGUUAUGGGAAUAAGCACCUCUAUUGCUUCAAGGGUUCAAACCUUAGACCUCAUAUAACUUGUUGGAUUACUCAACCAAGCGCACCAACCUCUCUAAUCGGUGUCAAUUAUUGCCAAUUUUGCACUAUUUGUACUAAAAUAGAUUUUUGCUUGGUUUCCGGCCCAAGCGCAAUAUGCAAACAAUUCUAUAGGCAAAUCCCUUAGUAAAUGGUUGUGGAUGCAAUCUUGUAGUGCAAUAUUCAUCUAUAGUGCCAAUGUAGAAUAUGCCCUAUGGUGGUGAGCAACCAUAGGGUUGAAACCAUAAAAAGAAGAUGAUCCAAAAUUAAUGUAAUUCACACAUGAAAGUUGAAUUUCAAGGUUGAGUAAGGAUGGGUUGUGUGGUUGAGCUAAAAAUGGGUUUAAAAAUAAAUUUUGAGUACUUGUAGACUUGAAUGGAUGAUUUUAAUAGAUCUAUGGAAUUAGAUAUUUUGGAGUUUUUUAAUGAGUAUUUAUUAGUAGUAGACACUUCUACAGAUUAAAUGCUUUGAAUUAGCACUAAUUUAUCUACUUUCUAGAUAAGCUUUUUUGGUCUAGCUUAAUUUUUACUCUCAAUGUUCCUAUGGAGAAUGGGUAUAUAUCUAUAUAUAUACAUAUUCCCAAAUUUUCAAGGUAUUUUGAGGAUGAAAGUAAUGAACAUGUUUUUCAAAGUUUUAUUUUUCUUUUUCUGUUUCUUUUUUAAAAAAUAAAUAAAUUUAAAGAUAUGCUUAGGAAUGUGCUGUAAUCAUUUAUUUAUUUUUAAUCCUCAACACUCACAAUGGAUUUGAAGUUUUGUAACUUUUGUUCUAAAUUGAUAACCACCUUUAGAACACAGAAUCAACAUUAGGUUUAUAAAAGAAGAAAACAAUUUUUAAAUCUGGAACGGCACUAUUAUGUAAUAUCUGAUUUACUGCCACCAAUUUAUAGUGACAUGUAUCUGGUGCAAUGCUACAAAUAUAAGAAGUUUCUUCAAGAAUUUACGAAUACGUACAAAAAAUUGAACUACACCUUAAGAUUUUUUAUUUUAUUUUAUUUUAUUAUAAAUACAUUAAAUGUGAUUAAGGUAAAGGUGUGGCACAACAUGGUUCUCUAUUGGAUGACAAACUUUUACAAUGUGACUAAUUUAAUGGUCUUUUGACACAUGAAGCAUUAAUAUCAUUAAUAUUUCAACCUAUUUAAUAAAACAUUCUUCCGGAAGACAAGGAAUACCAAUAAAUUGGCCAAAUUGUACUUUUAUUUAAUAAAAAAAUGUACUAUUAUUUAUUAUUUAAAAGCAUGUAAAAACAUAAUUUGCCUAGGGUGGGUUUAAUACCAACCAUAAACAGAUAUAACCAUACAAGUUACAUUAAAGAUAAAAUAUUCAUAAUAAGAUUUUUGACAGUAUUUUGUACGACUAUUCUCACAAGAAUGCUAUAUAUAUAUAUAUAUAUAUAUAUAUAGGCAUUACAAAAUAUUAAUUUAUUUCAAAAUUUAACAACAAUAAGUUCCAUGUGGAGGAGACCCACAACACAAAACAACACACAGCAAAAGAGCCACAAUAUGCAGACAAGCACAGAAGGGCAAAGUGAGUAAUAGCUGCAUAUAAUAAUAUACAUUAAAGAAAAAAAGCCCAAGUCAUUCAUUAAGUAACAGAUAUUUUAACAUAAAAUAUUAAAUUUGUUAGAUAGGAAGUUUGAGUGGGCCUUGAUUCUCACCAUAAUGCCUUAAGAGUCUUUUUAUUUAUGUUGUAACGGAUAAUAUUCAUGUAAUCAUUCUGACAUAUGUGAAUGGUAUUGAUUUUAUUAUUAUGAUCAUGAUUAUGAUUAUUUGUUUUGUGAUUUUUAUUAAAAGGAAGUUUUAAGAAAAGUCAAUGUUUGUGUCAGAAUAGGUGUGAUUGCUUUCAUUGUUUCUUCUGGGGUGCAUAGAAAAGUGAGAGAUUUGGUUUUAAUUAAUUUUGUAAAUAUGUAAAACAAAAUUCUAUCAGAGGAUUCAAUUAUGAAGCUGAGCAGUUUGGUGGAAUGAAAUCACUAUGAUGGGCUUUUUUGUGUUCUUUCACAGAGUUCUGUAGAAAAGGGAUACAAACAACAAAUAACAAACAAACAAACCACAAAAAAACAAAACUACUGUCUCUCUCUCUCUCUCUCUCUCUCUCUCCCAUGUUUCACUAUGUUCAUUACAUUGAGUGGGAGAUACAAUCACAACCUAAAACUCCCUCUGACACUGAGUUUUGGGCUAUUCACUCAUUCAUUUGACCAUUCAUGAUGAUAAUUAUGACGAUGAUGAUGUUAUAUAUAUAUAUAUAUAUAUAUAUAGUUUUUAUUUAUUUGCACAAGGCCAUCAGGCUACUAUCUUUUACUGUACCAGGGUCUCUAUACCAUUUAAAUGAAGGGACUUUCUUGUGUGAUGAAAAAUACAUUGAAAAUCCUGAUCAAGAUAAGUCUGCCUCGGAGUUAAUAAAUUUAUUUAUUUUUCAUACAAAAAAUAAUACAAGGGAAGUGGUUUAUUUUUAAACUUCUUUCUUCCACCGAAGAAAACACUAUCAAAAUCACGCAAUGAAUUAAGUUCCCCUCUCUCAUUUCUCGCUGUAUCGACCACUUGAUGGACACACAUGGUUUCUGGUUUUUAAUUCAAGUGAGAAAACAGGCCCACGUCAAAGCCAUGCUGCUGGAGUCAAGUAUAACUACAAUAAUAGAUAUUAUUAUCACCACAUAAGCUUUCGUUUUUUAAAAUUUACUUUCAAAAGAGAGUUUGAAACCUGGUUUGGGGUAACAUUGCAAACCAAUCACUUUUAAUGUUUCAUGUCAAUUUCACUAUUAUAUAUUUAUAUUUACAUCAAUCAGGUGAUCAAUCCACAAAGGCAAGGGACUGAGACUGGCCAUGAAACCCAGACUCUGUCUGUCUGUCUGUUUGUCUGAGUAACUGACGGACUGACUGAGUUUAUUUAUUUGCAGAGCCAGGGCAGUUAAAACUAAAGGAGAGGGUUCAUUUAUCACCGACGUCAGCUGCGUCUCCUAUUCCAUACCGGACAGACACAUAAAUGGGUCCAUUUUUAUUUUUGUUUUUGUUUUUCUUCUAUUUUUUUUUUCAUGUAUGAUGAUGUGCUCAAAUUUGAUUUUUAUCUGUAUUUUGUAUAUUUAUUUGAAUAUAAUGAUUGAGUCUUUUUACUUUUAUUGUCAUUCUUUUAUGUUUUUUGUUGGUUGGUUGGGUGAUGCUAUGCUGCAUUGAUCACUAGUUGUUUGGUAUUGUGGACACCAGAUUUGCCUGUAAAAUAACUGGCAUCUGCAUGCAGCUCAUGGAAUUGCCAGCUCUCAUGUUUGCAUGUGCUGUGAUUGUGCUGGAUAUAUAUAUAUAUAUAUGUAUUAUCUGAUUUAACCCGUUUUAUUUUUUAAUUAUUCAUAAUUAAAUAAUGUGUAAAAGUUAGAUAGUUGUUUAACUGCCACCUGUUGUUUGUUAAGGUUAUUCCUAUCCCAGUGUUUUUGGUUUAUUAUUUUUAUUAUGUGAUUAUCAAUUUUUCACCAUUUUUUAUAGGUAAAAGCUACAAGACAUUUGAACUUCAAAUAUUAUUGAGAAGGAAUCACAAAAAUUGGAAAAUUGUAUUUAAAGUGUACCGUGAAAUUUCUCCUUGCUAAUUUACCAAAAUGAGACUAUUGAAAUGAAUGUUAACAUUUUGAUAAAAAUAAAUAGAAAUAAAGAUCUGAAUGUUUAUACAUAUGUCUAUUGCUUGGUAUGGAGCAAUAUUUUAUGAAAUUGGCAUAAGAGAUAAUAUUAUAGUAAACUUUCAAAUUUUAUGCAUGAUAGUAUGCAGAGGAAAUCCUAUUGGUUCUAAAAAUCCCUCAAUAUGGCAACUCUUUCAACAAAGCUCAAGAAUGGCAACCUUAGAACAAAUAUAUUUUAUAUUUAUAGCUUAGGGCAAGCUUGCUUAGGUUCUAAGUUUGAAAUAUGUUUAACAAACAACUGAGAAAUAGAAUGAAUGUCAACUGACACAAAUUGGUGAGUGUACAUGAGUUGCAAACCUAGUUUUUGCUAUAUUUUGAAAGAUUUGGAACAAGGAUUGUGCUAUUUAGUAGAAAUAACAAUUAAUACUUGAAUUCUAUGCUUACAUAGCUAAUAUUUCAAAAGUAUAUAUAUAUAUAUAUAUAUAUAUAUAUAUAUACAUAUAUACAUACAUACAUUAUGUUUUAUACCACAUGGUUGCCGCUAUCAAUAUACCCAAGUGAAAGAGAAGAAAGAAAAUGUGAGAGAGUGGGGCAAGAAUAUGGAUGAUCAAUGUAAUGGACAAAGCAUCACAUUGACUUCAUGGGACCAGGCGGAGAUUGAGAUACGCACACAGAUGGGAGGGAGAGCAUCAGGUAGGAUUUUACAGAAAGGGGGUCCACAUCAGCAGGUGAAGCACUUGGAUACUCGCAUACAAACACACACAACACAACACAAGUAUACAAAAACAAUACAAUAUCAAAGCAAAACAAAGCAUCACACAUGAACCUCUCAUUGGGUAUGAUGUUGCUCUGCCUUUGCAAAGAGCAGCAGCAGCAGGGUGUGAAAAAAGUUCUGCAGUAGCUGAUGUGGCAUAUGGGCUGCUGCUGAUGUGGCAUAUGGGCUGCUGCUGAUGUGGCAUAUGGGCUGCUGACAUAUUCAUGCUACAGCUGAGCCAGGCAGGCAUAAGCUGGUGGCUGCCUAUUCUCACAUUUCGGCCUCCUUAUCCUGAUAAUGUUGAUCAUUCUGUGCACGAAUAAGGUGAGACAUUACUUUUUUCUUUUUUCAUGUAUAAUAAAGUACAUGGAUCUCUUUUUUUUCUUUUUCUUUUUCUUUUUUUUCUUUUUUUUUUUCCAGCCUUUUGACACAAGAAAUUUAGGUUAGAAUUCAAAGUUUAACAUUGUAGCCAUAUGGACAUGAAAAUAUUAACCAUGUAUUGUCAAUGUUUGUUAGACAUGACCUAAGGUGUAUCCAAUUUCCUACUAGAAACAAUACAUUUUUAAUGCUUUUUUGUUUUUAUUUUUUGCAAAUUCUGGAGUACAGUAGAUUGAAAAAUUACUAGCAUCUAAAAGUUGAACUGUCAAAGUACUUGGGUAUAAAAUAAGACCACACAUUAAACAAAGAGCCAACCAAAAGUUAGAUACCAUUGAAUUAACAUUGCAUUAUAUGUAAAUACUCAUUUAAUUUAUUUCAAAUCAUAAAUAAAUAUAAUUUUGGUAUUUUUCUUGGAACUGAUUUUCAUCACAACUAAUUGCAAGUAGCCUUAAUUGCAAUCAAGUAACCCAUACAAAUAGGCACAUUGUACCAUGCUAAAACUCUUAUAUGAAUUAAAGGCAUUCAACAGUCAACAUCAGAAAUUUAUUUAUUUAUUAACUACCAAAACAUGAACCCUGAAUAAAAAGUGCGGUUUAAAAAGUAAUUGUGUAAAAUGACCAUGAAUAUGUUUGAUGUUUACUAAAUACAGAACAGUUGAUAAUAACUUAAUUUUCAGAAGGAUGGAAAAUUUGUAACUUAUCAUUAAUUCUUUAAUGAAUACAAAGAAAUAAUCCAUUUCUAAUUCAACCAUAGGAAUGAAAUUUGAUGUCCUUGAAUAUAGACCAAGCAAUGACAAAACAACAACCUUAACUAAACUCAAUGUAUCAUGAGUAUGAGUAAAAUUUCUUUAUUUUUGACAACACUUCUUGCAACUCCUGAAUCCUUUAUUGUUAUUAUUUUUUGGUCUGCUGGACAAUACUUUCAUGAUAUAUAAAAGAAGAAGAAGAAGUUGAAACAGAUUUUUUUUUUUUUUUUUUUUUUUUUUUUGGGGGGAUUCACAUCACAAUGUUAUUAUGACAAAAAGGGGGGGUCUAAACAAGACAGAAUAUGGAUGGAAUUAUGUGGAGUGUCUGAGGUGCUCACUUGGGCUACUCAUAAUACUCACUCACUUUCUUACUUAUACCCACCCCACAGUGACUCACUCCCAUGACCCAGUGUAUUUGAUCAUCACCCAUGGCUGGCCCCAUUGUGAAGAACAUUUUGUCAAUCAUCAAUAGUGAGGUCAGAGGCCCAUUCUGAGGCCCCAAAACACACAGCUGAAGAGAAGAUUAUGCACUCCCUCCAAAGCACACACACUCACUCACUCACUCACUUACACAUACAAACACACACAUACAACUGGGUGGUACCCAUCAGGGAGAAUCAGCACAGAGAAUCCACAACUAUUGCAAUGGCAUAGCAUAACAGCAACGGUACUCCUUCACUCCCAGCUCAUUCCUCCUCCACUUUGCAAGUCAGCACUCAAAAAUUGCACCCCCCCCCUCAAGCCCUAAUACUAAUACUACUGAGUGGGUGUCAGUGUCAUCCAAAACCCUAAUUUUUCACUUGGUGGGAGAAUCCAUGAACAAUCCAAAACCCUAUUUUAUUUUUUGCUUUCAGGGGCUUUGGAGCAAAUCCCUAAACCCCAACAAUUGUAAUGUGGAGUGGAUGUUUGAGCCAUUUCAAAACCCUGAUCUUCAAGUGGGUCUUCUCUGUUUUUGGUUUGUUGGGGGUGGGGGGGGGGUCUGAGUGGCAUUGGAAUCAUUGAAGCCCUUCUUCUCUGCAAUGUGGAGCUUCAGUGCAGGGAGCCUUGCAGUGGAGCAUUAUUAGGGUUAGGUGUGUGGCAGAACAUCAAAACAAAAACAAAUGAAAACAAAAAAAAGUAAAAAGUAGAAGUAAAAGUACCUUGUCGUUCAGUGGAGGGGAAGUACUGAAGGAGGGAGAGCCACAGAGCAGUUACCCAUUCUUCACAACUGGACCCAAAAAGCAAGUCCUCCCCUUGCGACACAUGGACCCAUACAGCUGGCAGUGGAUGAUUGGUGCCAGCCUGGCAAAUCCUGGAACGUGCAUUCCUCCCCCAAUUGGAUUGCUCAGCUGAAGACCCUGUAAUACCCGCCUUGGUGGAGUGAACGGGUAUCUCAUUGGUCUCACUGUGAAGGAAAUUGGUGAUUAGGGUUUUGGUGUGUUUUGAAAUGGGUGCCUCACAAUCUUUCCUCCCACCAUGUUGAGAAUAUUAAAAAGGGCUCAUAUUCAUCAUAUUUUGUAGCUCCUUUGAUUGUUGAGAUUAAUCACAUUCUUCUUCUUAAAGAACGUGAUUAGAUGUGCAUGAAGAGGUGCAUCAAGUGUUGUCUACCUUAAAUGAAAAUGGAUCACCUACCACCACAACUUUGCUUUGCAUAGAGAUAAGAUCUACAGUCUCUCCACUACUGUCAAGAACUUUUUUGGAAAAACAAUGCAUGGCUUUGUAUCGUUUUUGCUUGAUAACAAUUUGUGAUAGAAAUGUUUUUCAUUCAUUUUCAAUUCAUUCAUUGUUGUUGGUGCACCUGUUAUUUUUUUACUUUUUUUUGUUUUUUUAUAAUUGUUUUUACAUAAAUUAUAAUUAACAAAGUAAUCUGUAGGUUUGGCAUUGCAGAUAAUUCACAAGAUAUUUUGUUUACUCCAGUUUUAAACAUGCAUUACACUCUUUAACUUCUCUCUUGCUGACACAAGCUACAUUAAAAACACAUACCAAGUAAGUGCAAAAUUGUUGCUUCAUUACUUGUGGUUGGAAUUGGCAAUGUCAUUGAGGGGAACACUAACAACUCAAAUUUAAUUGAUCCUUGAAGUAUUGUUGCUCUUGAUAAUAGCAAUGGAUGGGAGCUUUUGUUGGUUUGUUUUGUUUUGUUUUGUUUUUGUUUUUAUUUUUUAAAUUGUCUUUACAAUGACCAUUGCAUACUGCAAAUCAUCUUUCCUUACAUUGUUGGUUUAGGGUUUAGCCUUGACAUGUAUCAUAGUAUAAACGCUUCAUUUUGUCUCUCUAAACAAAAGUUAAAUCAUGUCUCUUUUCCAAUUAUGAUUCAUAUUUAGAAAAAAAUGUCUUUUAGCAAAAUUCCUCCUUGUUUUGCAAGAAGACUCUCCCCUCAUACUCCAAUCACACCAAAACAUAACUUCAAAGUUUUGCUAAUUCCAAAGGAUUUACCCACAUCAACACUCAAGGAAGUUUUCUAAUCUUCUACCCCACACACACCCAUUUUUCACUCUCACUUUGAUUCUAUUUCAAUCUCAUUGUCUAAUUUUUAAUUCCAAUCCUGCUUAGCCUUUGCAUAGGUUCUUUCUUUGAAAGUAAAAUAUUCUUCUUCCUUCCUCUACAUUUUUUAAAAAUAAAAAUAAAUCUGGAUAUUAUUCAUUUCUACUAUUAUUAUUUUUCACGAUAGAGCAUAGAAUUACCUUAAAGAUCCUGUCAAAUCCUGUAAAUAUGUUUUUGAUAUUAGAGCAUUGCCACCAAUGCAAAUGGCCAAUGGGUGGAUGUUGCCACAAUACACUGUUGGGAAAAGUGUCCAUUUUGUGAGGGACAAGUUCCAAAACUUGUAUUCUUCAAUCUUUUUAGUUAUUAGUUUUAAUUUUUAUUAAUUUAAAUAUUAUGUAUUGUAUUUUAUUAUUGAAAAGAA
rnacentral:lncRNA from 1 species